CCUACGGGAGGCAGCAGUGAGGAAUAUUGGUCAAUGGACGAGAGUCUGAACCAGCCAAGUAGCGUGAAGGAUGACUGCCCUAUGGGUUGUAAACUUCUUUUAUAUGGGAAUAAAAUGUUCCACGUGUGGGAUUUUGUAUGUACCAUAUGAAUAAGGAUCGGCUAACUCCGUGCCAGCAGCCGCGGUAAUACGGAGGAUCCGAGCGUUAUCCGGAUUUAUUGGGUUUAAAGGGAGCGUAGGUGGAUAGUUAAGUCAGUUGUGAAAGUUUGCGGCUCAACCGUAAAAUUGCAGUUGAAACUGGCAGUCUUGAGUACAGUAGAGGUGGGCUGAAUUCGUGGUGUAGCGGUGAAAUGCUUAGAUAUCACGAAGAACUCCGAUUGCGAAGGCAGUUCACUGGACUGCAACUGACACUGAGGCUCGAAAGUGUGGGUAUCAAACAGGAUUAGAUACCCCUGUAGUC
rnacentral:rRNA from 1 species